UCAUUGUGGCCUCCAGGGAGCAGUGUUUCUGAGGAAUUAGGACAACGUUGAUGCUGGAGUGGAGAAGGGAAUGUCCCUGCCGUGGGUAUUUGGCUCAUGGUGAAUCCCAGGAGACUGGUGAUGACUAAGUCCUCUCAGACAGGAGAGGACUUAGCAUUGAUAUCCCUGAGUGGCACUGGAGCAGAUAAAGCACCAUCACGUUGAACUGGAUGUAUACAGCCAGCACAGGAGACAGCUGCUGGAGAUGCCCAGAUAUAACUGCAGGGAAACUUACAGCUGGGUGUGAGACCUGAAUAGGCAGAAAAUGCAAGUGCAGGGAAGAGACAGGUUAUAUAAUGACACUGAAGCACCAAGAAGUGAAGUUACUAGAUGAACAUUAUACAUAUGUAGAGACGGGGUUUCACUGUGUUUCCCAGGCUGGUCUCGAACUCCUGAGCUCAGGCAAUCCACCUUCCUCGGCCUUCCAAAGCACUGGGAUUACAGGCAUAAGCCACCAUGCCCAACUUCUGCAUAUUCUUAUAUACAGUGCAGUCAUCUGGAAGAUGAAAUACACUGUAACACUCAUAUAUUGAUGAUGGGAGUGCAAAAUGGUAUACCGUUUUUCUUGAAAAGAAUUCAACAGUUUGUUUCGAGUCAGUUGCUCUUCAGAUUCAUUUUCCACUCUUUUCAUGAGGACCUCCUUGAGCUUGAUCACCUGGGCUCCCUACCUUCUGGCCUCCAGUUGGAAUUGAAGAAGAGAAGAGGUCAUUGUCCUGAGGGCUGGAAAGAGAGACUGGGGUAACUGAUCUCCCACUUCCUCUAUACCAGGCCAUAGUUGAGGCAAAAGAUACUUCCUACAUCCUUUAGUAUUAUUCCCUUUGGGUAGCUUCUCUUCCAGAGCUACAGCUCUCCUUGCAUUCUGCCUACUCUGUCCCCUUCAGGCAUACCAGCUGUUAGUCACUGCUAGUCCCUGGGUCUUUUACCCCUUUCCACACUUUGGGGAAAAGUGUACUCAUGAAAAUUAUCUUCAUUUAAUAAUUUUAUUUCUUUUUCCUGUUGGAACCCUAUGUGAUACAGAGAUGAAGGACAGAGCAAUAGCUAGAGCUUAAAUAACAAAUUCUAUGCUAGGCCAUAAACAAAUAGGAGAGGAUUUACUCAAAGAAAUUAUGUCAGAUCAAUAGUCAGGUUAUAUUUACUGUAGCCAAAGUCCUUGGAGGUAUUUAUGCAAUAGUAAACACCUAAACGGAAUCGUGAAAAUUGACAGGAACUAAAUCUAAUAGGAUACAGGUUGAAUCCAAUAGCAUUUAGAAAAGAAUGAAAGAGAAUUAUAUACAAUGAUUGAAUUGAAAUAAAAAAUUCUUAAUAAAUAGUUCUCUGUAGGAA
rnacentral:lncRNA from 13 species